CUUUGUUUGUAGUUCUUCGUUUGCAGAGGUACAAUUAGUGCGUAUAUGCCCGUUUCCGCGCUCGAUUCAUAUCAUGUUUCCUUUUCGUUCCUUAUUCGCUUAUUAUAUGCUGCCCCUUUUUAAAGAUUUAUUUUUUAUUUAUUUUCUUGUCUCUGGUGUAAGUACUGGUUUCGAUGAGUUAAAAUAACCCUGUCAGUGCAUCUGUAUCAGUUUCUGUUCAUUAUAGCUUUUUAUGCUUCGCACCUUUUUAAUGCUUUCUUUUCUU
rnacentral:lncRNA from 1 species